CGCUAGCUACAGGCUUAACACAUGCAAGUCGAGGGGCAUCAGGAAGAAAGCUUGCUUUCUUUGCUGGCGACCGGCGCACGGGUGAGUAACACGUAUCCAACCUGCCCUUUACUCGGGGAUAGCCUUUCGAAAGAAAGAUUAAUACCCGAUAGCAUAAUGAUUCCGCAUGGUUUCAUUAUUAAAGGAUUCCGGUAAAGGAUGGGGAUGCGUUCCAUUAGGUUGUUGGUGAGGUAACGGCCCACCAAGCCUUCGAUGGAUAGGGGUUCUGGGAGGAGGGUCCCCCACAUUGGAACUGAGACACGGUCCAAACUCCUACGGGAGGCAGCAGUGAGGAAUAUUGGUCAAUGGGCGCUAGCCUGAACCAGCCAAGUAGCGUGAAGGAUGAAGGCUCUAUGGGUCGUAAACUUCUUUUAUAUAAGAAUAAAGUGCAGUAUGUAUACUGUUUUGUAUGUAUUAUAUGAAUAAGGAUCGGCUAACUCCGUGCCAGCAGCCGCGGUAAUACGGAGGAUCCGAGCGUUAUCCGGAUUUAUUGGGUUUAAAGGGAGCGUAGGUGGACUGGUAAGUCAGUUGUGAAAGUUUGCGGCUCAACCGUAAAAAUUGCAGUUGAUACUGUCAGUCUUGAGUACAGUAGAGGUGGGCGGAAUUCGUGGUGUAGCGGUGAAAUGCUUAGAUAUCACGAAGAACUCCGAUUGCGAAGGCAGCUCACUGGACUGCAACUGACACUGAUGCUCGAAAGUGUGGGUAUCAAACAGGAUUAGAUACCCUGGUAGUCCACACAGUAAACGAUGAAUACUCGCUGUUUGCGAUAUACAGUAAGCGGCCAAGCGAAAGCAUUAAGUAUUCCACCUGGGGAGUACGCCGGCAACGGUGAAACUCAAAGGAAUUGACGGGGGCCCGCACAAGCGGAGGAACAUGUGGUUUAAUUCGAUGAUACGCGAGGAACCUUACCCGGGCUUAAAUUGCAGUGGAAUGAUGUGGAAACAUGUCAGUGAGCAAUCACCGCUGUGAAGGUGCUGCAUGGUUGUCGUCAGCUCGUGCCGUGAGGUGUCGGCUUAAGUGCCAUAACGAGCGCAACCCUUAUCUUCAGUUACUAACAGGUCAUGCUGAGGACUCUGGAGAGACUGCCGUCGUAAGAUGUGAGGAAGGUGGGGAUGACGUCAAAUCAGCACGGCCCUUACGUCCGGGGCUACACACGUGUUACAAUGGGGGGUACAGAAGGCAGCUAGCGGGUGACCGUAUGCUAAUCCCAAAAUCCUCUCUCAGUUCGGAUCGAAGUCUGCAACCCGACUUCGUGAAGCUGGAUUCGCUAGUAAUCGCGCAUCAGCCACGGCGCGGUGAAUACGUUCCCGGGCCUUGUACACACCGCCCGUCAAGCCAUGGGAGCCGGGGGUACCUGAAGUACGUAACCGCAAGGAUCGUCCUAGGGUAAAACUGGUGACUGGG
rnacentral:rRNA from 1 species